GUGCUCACUUUGGCAGCACAUAUACUAAACUGGAACAACACAGAGAAGAUCAGCAUGGUCCCUGCACAAGGAUGACACAUAAAUUCAUGAAGCAUUCCAUAAAUAU
rnacentral:snRNA from 1 species